UUUACGUAUUUUUUUUAUUACUUUUUUUCAUUUGUCUUAGAAAGAAAUAUGAAAUCUGCAUGCAACUUCCUAAAUAUUUCAAACAUUUAAAUAGCAUAUGAUAAUUUAGCAGUACAGUACAUUAUACAGUGAGAUAAUAUAGGGAGACUUCCUAUAGUGUAUUUACAAAUGAAAAGGUAGUUUUGUUAUAUUAAAAAGAGGAAUGCACUGCUUAACAUUGAAGUAUUACAUUCAAAAUAAUGAAUAUGUGGUAUUGUGACUAAAACAUACAUACGUAUUUAUAUGUUUGCCCUAUCAUAUUUUUCAUAAAAAGGUACCUUUUAAAGGCUUUUUUUUUGUUGUUGUUGCUACAAAUCUAGGAAAACAUACACAAUAGUCUUGAAGCUUAAGAUGUCUCAAUACUGAAGCCACAAACUUUCUUUAAGUGCUUCAGGUGGAAAAAAAAAUACAUUUUCUUAGUAAUAAAAAUGAGUUAGAAAUGCUUUCUAAUGCAGGAGAGGUUAGAUGGGAGAUGCAGGAAGCUUUGCCUUGCAGCAGACCUCGAGUCCAUUAAAGAAGAGGUACACGAGUGAUGCUCACGCUCACUUGACGAGGUGCUGAGGGACCUCACUCCUGCAGGUGCAGCCACAGCAUUUUAGUGGCAUCUUCCCCAGCAAACUCGUCUUUGGUCCCUGCUCUGCCUGGCUGAGGUGGAGGCUGCAAACAGGAGCAGCAUCCCCAGCCCACUGCCAGGGGUGAGGGCCAUGGCUGUACAACACAUCACAAACAGCUCUGUUUGCCUGGUGAGCUUAUAAAGCUCGAUUGCCAUCAUAGUGAAGUAUGAAUGAAUCAUAAUUAAAACAAAAAAAACUCCCAAAAAACUUCUUUAAAACGAAAAGCAGGUGUUUUCCUAAUUUCAGUAUGGAGCAGACAGGUAUGAAAUCAAAAGUGCAACAGAUGCUUGUGAAAUCUGGAAGCCUUUUGCACACGGCUAUAAAA